UACGAAGGGGGCUAGCGUUGUUCGGAAUUACUGGGCGUAAAGGGCGCGUAGGCGGCGUGUCAAGUCAGGCGUGAAAGCCCCGGGCUCAACCUGGGAACCGCGCUUGAGACUGGCAUGCUCGAGUUCGGGAGAGGAUGGUGGAAUUCCCAGUGUAGAGGUGAAAUUCGUAGAUAUUGGGAAGAACACCGAUGGACGAAGGCAGCCAUCUGGACCGACACUGACGCUGAGGCGCGAAAGCGUGGGGAGCAAACAGGG
rnacentral:rRNA from 1 species